UGAGGAAUUUUGCGCAAUGGGGGAAACCCUGACGCAGCAACGCCGCGUGAGUGAAGAAGGCCUUCGGGUCGUAAAGCUCUGUCAAGGGGGAAAAAAUCCUUUCGAUAAAUAGUCAGUAAGGACUGAUGGUACCCCUAGAGGAAGCACCGGCUAACUCCGUGCCAGCAGCCGCGGUAAUACGGAGGGUGCAAGCGUUGUUCGGAAUUACUGGGCGUAAAGAGCGUGUAGGCGGUUUGGCAAGUCAGAUGUGAAAGCCCUGGGCUCAACCCAGGAAGUGCAUUUGAAACUGCCAUCCUAGAGUAUGGGAGAGGAGAGUGGAAUUCCCAGUGUAGAGGUGAAAUUCGUAGAUAUUGGGAGGAACACCCGUGGCGAAGGCGACUCUCUGGACCAAUACUGACGCUGAGACGCGAAAGCGUGGGGAGCAAACA
rnacentral:rRNA from 1 species